GUUGGGGGUUUGGAGGCGUUGCGAAAUGGCUGUGGGACAACCGCGCCCGGCGCCGCUUCGGGGAAGCCGUGUGUUUCUUUUUUGCAGCUUGCAUUGGUGACAUGCACAACCCAGCAACCGUGGCUCGCCGCAACUCCCGGCUCACGAUGAUGAAAGCUGCAGUGUUGGUUUUCCUUAUUACAGCCUGCUGAUGUAUGCGGAGUUUAAUCCCAAAAGGAUUAAUGUGCAGGGGGAAGGAGAAUGGGGGGGGGUGGUAGUUUGGAUUGUGUGGAUCAUUGAUUUAAUAAAAAAUAGUAUAUAAAUAACAAAA